rnacentral:lncRNA from 1 species
CUCUCUGUCGGUGUAUGUAUGUGUACGUAUACCCAUGUACAUCACUUCAUAUCAAGAGGUUAUAAUCUCUCUCUAGAGGUGGCAAAAUAUCCUGAUAAAUGAUGCUUGAAUUUAAGUGAAGUUUUAUUUUAGUUUCCAAUCCUAAAAUAAAAUAAUGAGUUUUCCUUACACAAAAAAAGACUGUAGUACCAAAUUGCUGCACGUGAAGUUUAGCCCUUUUGCCAC